GCCUGGGUGGCUCAAGUCAGUUACGCGUCUGACUUCAGCUCAGGUCAUGAUCUCACCUUUCGUGGGUUCGAGCCCCGCUUCGGGCU
rnacentral:tRNA from 1 species